UACGGAAGGGGCGAGCGUUGUUCGGAAUCAUUGGGCGUAAGGGGCGCGUAGGUGGUCUUGUAUGUCUACCGUGAAAGCGUACGGCUCAACCGUAUUUUGUCGGUAGAAACUGCAGGACUUGAGGCUGGGAGGGGCUGGCGGAAUUCCUGGUGUAGCGGUGAAAUGCGCAGAUAUCAGGAGGAACACCGGUGGCGAAGGCGGAUCUCUGGGCCUGUCCUGACGCUCAGGCGCGAAAGCUAGGGGAGCAAACAGG
rnacentral:rRNA from 1 species